AGCCAGUCAACCGCUGCAAUGCCCGCCUCCGCCCCGAGAGAGGACCAAUCGGAAGGCCGGAGGGGAGGGAGGCAGGCUGCGGUCACAAGCACACGGGGAAUCCACUGAUGGCAUCCGUGCCCUGCACGAUCAUAUCCGCCAGCAGAAAGCAGAAGCCUGGCGGGGGGUUACCCGCAAGAACAGAGAAGGGUAAGGCCAGCCACCCCAAAAAAUAGGACCAGGAGAAGAUGAUGUCGUUUUUCCACGCGUUCUUCACCGUGUAGCCUGUCAAGGCGAUCAGCAGCAGCAGGCCUGGGUCGCCCCAGCCGCCAGGUGAGCUUGGCCCGGGGGCUGCAACCAGGCCCCACGCAGACCGCGCCCACUGCCCCUAGCCACGCUCCCUUCUGGCCCGGCAGGUCCCUGCUCCACCAGGCCACGCCUCCGCCUCCCCCUCCCAGUCCCUGCUCCGCCACUC